rnacentral:rRNA from 1 species
CCUACGGGUGGCUGCAGUGGGGAAUAUUGCACAAUGGGGGAAACCCUGAUGCAGCGACGCCGCGUGAGUGAAGAAGUAUUUCGGUAUGUAAAGCUCUAUCAGCAGGGAAGAAAAUGACGGUACCUGACUAAGAAGCCCCGGCUAACUACGUGCCAGCAGCCGCGGUAAUACGUAGGGGGCAAGCGUUAUCCGGAUUUACUGGGUGUAAAGGGAGCGUAGACGGUGAUGUAAGUCAGACGUGAAAGCGCUGGGCUCAACUCCUGGACUGCUUUUGAAACUGUGUGACUGGAGUGCUGGAGAGGCAAGCGGAAUUCCGGGUGUAGCGGUGAAAUGCGUAGAUAUACGGAGGAACACCAGUGGCGAAGGCGGCUUACUGGACUGUAACUGACGUUGAGGCGCGAAAGCGUGGGGAGCAAACAGGAUUAGAUACCCUUGUAGUC